GACGAACGCUGGCGGCGUGCUUAACACAUGCAAGUCGAACGGAAAGGCCCUGCUUUUGUGGGGUGCUCGAGUGGCGAACGGGUGAGUAACACGUGAGUAACCUGCCCUUGACUUUGGGAUAACUUCAGGAAACUGGGGCUAAUACCGGAUAGGAGCUCCUGCUGCAUGGUGGGGGUUGGAAAGUUUCGGCGGGUGGGGAUGGACUCGCGGCUUAUCAGCUUGUUGGUGGGGUAGUGGCUUACCAAGGCUUUGACGGGUAGCCGGCCUGAGAGGGUGACCGGCCACAUUGGGACUGGGAUACGGCCCAGACUCCUACGGGAGGCAGCAGUGGGGAAUAUUGCACAAUGGGCGGAAGCCUGAUGCAGCAACGCCGCGUGCGGGAUGACGGCCUUCGGGUUGUAAACCGCUUUCGCCUGUGACGAAGCGUGAGUGACGGUAAUGGGUAAAGAAGCACCGGCUAACUACGUG
rnacentral:rRNA from 1 species